rnacentral:rRNA from 1 species
UUGGAAGUAAAAGUGGUAACAAGGUGUCCGUAGGUGAACCCCGGAAGGAUCAUUAUCGAGUUGAUUCGAGCUCCGGCUCGACUCUCCCACCCUUUGUUUACCUACCUCUGUUGCUUUGGCGGUGCCGCCUUCGGGCGCCCGCCAGAGGACUUCAAAACUCCAGUCAGUGAACGUCUCAGUCUGAAAAACAAGUUAAUAAACUAAAACUUUCAACAACGGAUCUCUUGGUUCUGGCAUCGAUGAAGAACGCAGCGAAAUGCGAUAAGUAAUGUGAAUUGCAGAAUUCAGUGAAUCAUCGAAUCUUUGAACGCACAUUGCGCCCCUUGGUAUUCCGGGGGGCAUGCCUGUUCGAGCGUCAUUUCAACCCUCAAGCUCUGCUUGGUAUUGGGCUCCGUCCUCCUCGGACGCGCCUCAGAGACCUCGGGGGUGGCGUCUUGCCUCAAGCGUAGUAGAAACACCUCGCUUUGGAGUGCAUGGCGUCGCCGCGCGCGGACGAAACCUUUUGUAUUUUCUCAAAGGUUGACCUCGGAUCAGGUAGGGAUACCCGCUGAACUUAAGCAUAUCAUUGCCCGAAGAAAG